UUCCCUGGAAAAACCAAACGAGUCUGUUUUAAAAUAAUAAAUCCAAAUUAUUCUAAAAAUGUACAGCUUGCUGAGUUUUCACAAGUUAAAUACACCACGUAAUCGGCGCACACAGAUCAAGAAACAAAAACAUUAUCAGUCCCCCAGAAUCCCCUCCUGCAGCUUUCUAGUUACUACACACUCAAGAAUAACCACCAUUUGACUUCUAACACCAAAGAUCAGUGUUUCCUUUUCUUGCAUUUUAUGGAAGAUGGGAAAUGGAAUCAUACAUUUUAUGUUCUUUCAUGUCUGACUGCCUUUGCCCACCAUUGACUGUGAGAUUCAUCCCUGUUGUGUGGUAGGCAGAAUUCUAAGAUGGCCCCCAAGAUUCCUCAUCCUCUCUUGUACUCGCAGCCUCUCCCAGUUAUUCAACUGAACAUUAAUCUAGGUGCUGCUGUAGAGGCAUUUUGCAGAUGUAAUUAAGACCCAAAUCAGCUGGCUUUAAGGUAUGGAGAUUGUUCUCAGUGGGCCUGAUCACAUGAGCCCUGAAAAAGCAUGGAGCUUCUUCUGGUGAAAGGGAAAUGAAGUAUGAGAGGGAUUGACACAAGGGAAAUUCUUCAUUGUCGGGUUUGAAGAUCGAGGGGUCCACAUGGAUACAGACGGCCUCUAGGAGCUGACAUUGGCUCCUGGUGACAGGCAGCAAGGAAAUAGGGACCUCAGUCCUCCAGUCACAAAAAAGGGCCCGAAUUCUGCCAACAACCCAAAUGAACUUGGAAGAGGAUCCUGAGCUUCAGCACCUGACACCUUAACUUCAGCCUGUGAGGCCCUCAGCAGAAAACCCAGCUACACCAGGCCCAGAUUUAAGACGAGCACAGCUGUGAGCUGGUGCAGCCAUGAACGUUCCAGUGCACGUCUUUUGGUGAAUAUAUGCGAAGUCAAAGAAGUGUCUCACAUACACACAAUCGCAAGCAUCUGUGAUGGAGUCAGAGACUGAAGAUCUUGAAACAUGGAGCACCACCUCCCAGGUGUCAACUGAAAGAAAAAUGCACAACAUAAAGUUGUGAGUUAAGUUUUAUCCGGGAAACUUACUGAGGACUAUAGCUCAGACAGCGCUGAGGAACUACGCCCAAAAGGUUGGUGGAGAACAGUCUGAGGGAGAAAUUCCUGCAAAGACACGGAUGUGACAGCUUACCUUCCUGCUCCCUGCCAACACCAGACCCCUCCCCACUGCUGCAGCGCCCCACACCCCGUCGGCAGGCAGCCCCACCAUGGAUCUCUCAUUACCGUACCAACUUGAGAAGGCAUUCUCUGCCCCUUCCAGGGGAGCAGGCAAGGCGUAGAGGCACAGGCUCACUGCUUCAUGAAAGCUGGCACCGAAGUCAGUGCUUCACCAUCCAGCUCGUUUGCUAUUCAUGGAAAUCGGGCUCCCUCCGGUUCCUGGUACAAAAGCACUCUCUUCCCCCUCCCUUUUAAAGCCCUGCUCUUGGGAAAGGCUCUGAUAGCUUUCGUUCAGUGCUCCUGAUGGAAGGAAAUUUAAUGUGAAGUAUCAUCUGUGCCUGUAACAAAGGCCAGUCCCAGGAGAGCUGCACAGGGAGUACUGGAAAGAAACCUUCAGCUGAGCAGCACCUGACCACAUCCUCCUGUGUCUUCAAUGCGACCUAAUGGAGAGUGGCUUUCUGGAGGAACAUGGAUCUGAUGUUAUAAUCGGAAUUCGUGGAAACAGGACUCUCUAAAGGAAACUUCUUGUAAUGUUUUCUUGUCAAUACUUUCCUAUGAAAAACAACAGGAUUGAUGUAUUCUGCCUGAAGACCCUGAAAGCAGAGCCUCGUCCACAAGCAUAGUCACCAGUAGGAUGGCCUGGCCUUGCUAUGUGGACACUGUUGCUGUGACCAAGUAGUGCUGAGAAAAAAGAAAUGAGAGAGUAGGGACCUGUGCCCCUUCAACAUCCCAGAAAUGCCAAUUCAGAACCAUGUAUAGCAUCACCCAUGGCUCUGUCUCCUGCCCAUCCCAUCAACCCCCAACACAAGUUACUGGUUUACUGGUGCUACACCCAUGACUACAGUCACCAAGCUCAUAGGAAAAGAGAGAAGCCAGGCAACAGGUCGGCCAACUUACAAGUGAGGAAGCAGAUUAUGUUUGUUUUCUGAACGCUCUGGUGUUUGGCUGCAAAGCCUGCCAGGCGGGAGAGAGUGGCUGACAGCGUCCUGGAGUGUGGGGAUGCUGUUGGAUGGUGGGAAAGAGCUAGGGAUGGGGAGUCAGAAGGUGACACGCUUUAGGUCGCAGCUCUGUGAGCUCAGGAGAGACAGCUACCUUCUCUAGCCCACUGGUAUCCUCAUAUGUAAACCGGAAGAUAUAAUACCUACCCCUCAAAGGAGGAGUCUGUGAAGAUUAAAUGUAAAGCUGUAAGAGCAUUUUGUAAACUAUAGAGCUGUACAACUCUAGACAGAAGUAUUUACUAUGGCUGGAGAGAGAGGGAGAGUUGAGUCUUAACGAAUUUGUAAAGGCGGUCAGGAAUCCCCGGUGGCUUUCCUCUCCCCCCGUCAGCUCUUGACCACUCACACCCAGGGUCCAGCCCGUCUGCCGGCCCAGCAUCCCCACUGGAGCCCAGACCACGAUCUGCCCCCUUCACUUUCCUCCCACCAAAGAUGACCUGUCUUGUGUCUCACUACACACCUGAAGCUGACCUAAGGAAGUAUGGAAUCAUGGAAAGAGCGUGAUCCUAAGCAUCAAAAACCUGAAUCCUAGGUCUGGCUCUGCCAUUAACUGGCCAUCUGAAUUCAGGCUUGAUUAACCUAUUGGCAACCUUGGACUUUGAGCCUAUAAGAGAAAAGAGAGCUCUGGUUUUUAAAACUUUUUCCAGCAUUAAAAUCCUGGCUUCAAAGCAAAAGGGUGCUCUUCAUCCAUCCCCUUGCGCCCCUUCUCAGCCCAAAUGUCAUUCCCUAGGCACCCUCAUAGAAAGGCAUGGGCUUACUGAAGCACAGUUUGAAAACACUGGGCUAAAUGAUCCCCCAAGGUCCCAUUCAUCUUUAAAAUUCUCUAACUCAGUCUCUACUUCUAAGAUAAAAGCUUUCAUGCUAAUGUAAGAAGUAAUAUAAUAUAAUAUAAUAUAAUAUAAUAUA